GCCACCACACCUCAGAGGUUAGAGCUCUGGUCUCGUAAACAAGGGGUCGCGAGUUCGAAUCUCGCUGGUGGCU